CAUAAACACAUAUGCCCUACCAUGCUGGAAUAAUAACCUGGCCAAGAGAAGAACUGGUCACCAUGGAUGUAAAGACCCAGAAACUACUCACUAUGAAUGAAGGAUUGAACCCAAGAUCCAACACCCAGAGACUGUACACCAGCUGGAAGAAAGGAGGUUGAGGCCUGAUGAGUGUUAAGGCCACAGUCCUGGAUAAAACACAGAGCAUUGCAUCCACAAGUACAUCACAAAAAUGGCUCCCAAAGAGGAACUGCUAAGGGAAUGCCCAAGACUUCA